rnacentral:lncRNA from 1 species
AGUUUCAACUGCUGUUGCCACAGCUGCCUUCAGAGUGCUCCAGUUUGAAUACAGAGACAUUCUUCUGAGACAACUCUUUUAAAUGUUAAAGAAGAAUUUGAUGCAACAAGAAGUAUACCUAAAGCUAUAUGCUUACCUUUUGGGUCAUUUAUGCCAACGAUAAAAUGGGUGAUGAUCAGAAUGUUUGUGCAUAAAAUCUUUUUUGAACAUCUGAUGCUUUGCACAUGCAAUCUUCAAGCUCAAUCAGACAUGCAACUGUGUAUACAAAAUCCUGUUGCAAAUUGCAUUCAACCGCUUAAAUAGCUCUUUGGAAAACAACUUCUGUUUAUUUUCAGGCAUGACCUUCAGUCUGUAAUACGGGAUCCACUACAAGUCUUUGGGAGGUGUUAUUACAGGAGCCAAGAUACGGAAACAACAUAAGUGUCCCUUGAUGGAUGAAUGGGUAAAGAAAUUGUGGUGUG